rnacentral:rRNA from 1 species
UAGACAGCUAGGAUGUUGGCUUGGAAGCAGCCAUUCAUUUAAAGAGUGCGUAACAGCUCACUAGUCGAGCGAUCGAGCAUGGAUAAUAAUCGGGCAUAAAUAUACCACCGAAGCUAUGAGAUGUAUUCAAUACAUCGGUAGGGGAGCAUUCCAACGAAGUAGAAUCUGUAGCGUGAGCUAUGGUGGAUUUUUUGGAAAAGCAAAUGUAGGCAUAAGUAACGAUAAAGGAGGUGAGAAACCUCCUCGCCGAUAGACUAAGGAUUCCUGAUCAACGCUAAUCGGAUCAGGGUAAGUCGGGACCUAAGGCGUACCCGAAAGGGGAAGUCGAUGGACAACAGGUUAAUAUUCCUGUACCAACUAUACACUAAAAGUGACGGAGAAACGAUGCUGCUAGGUGCAGACGGAAUAGCACGUUGAGCCUAGGCUACGGCCGAAGCGAAGCAGAUACCUUUCUUCCAAGAAAAGCGAGUAUAGUUGCCCGUACCGUAAACCGACACAGGUAGUCAAGGAGAGCAUCCUGAGGCGCUCGAGUGAUUCGCGGCUAAGGAACUAGGCAAAAUUACCCCGUAACUUUGGGAUAAGGGGAACCUAAUUCAAAUUAGGUCGCAGAGAAAUGAUCCAGGCGACUGUUUAUCAAAAACACAGGGCUCUGCUAAAUCGAAAGAUGACGUAUAGGGCCUGACACCUGCCCGGUGCUGGAAGGUUAAGAGGGGAUGUUAUCGUAAGAGAAGCAUUGAAUCGAAGCCCCAGUAAACGGCGGCCGUAACUAUAACGGUCCUAAGGUAGCGAAAUUCCUUGUCGGGUAAGUUCCGACCUGCACGAAUGGUGCAACGAUUUGGAGUAACGGUGAAGAUGCCGUUUACCCGCAACGGGACGGAAAGACCCCGUGAACCUUUACUGCAACUUCGCAUUGACUCUGUGUAAGUAAUGUGUAGGAUAGGUCGGAGACGCUGAUCUUGCUUCGCUAGGAGUAAGUUAGUCAUCCUUGAAAUACGACCCUUUGCUUACUUGGAGCCUAACUGUAUAGAUAUAGGACAUUGCGUGGUGGGUAGUUUGACUGGGGUGGUCGCCUCCAAAAGUGUAACGGAGGCUUUCAAAGGUACCCUCAUGGCGAUUGGUAACCGCCAGAAGAGUGUAAUGAUAUAAGGGUGCUUGACUGUGAGACCGACGGGUCGAUCAGGUAGGAAACUAGGACAUAGUGAUCCGGUGGUUCCGUAUGGAAGGGCCAUCGCUCAAAGGAUAAAAGGUACUCCGGGGAUAACAGGCUGAUCGCUCCCAAGAGCUCAUAUCGAC